rnacentral:rRNA from 1 species
UACGUAGGGUGCAAGCGUUGUCCGGAAUUAUUGGGCGUAAAGAGCUCGUAGGCGGUCUGUCGCGUCUGCUGUGAAAACCUGGGGCUUAACCCCGGGCCUGCAGUGGGUACGGGCAGACUAGAGUGCGGUAGGGGAGACUGGAAUUCCUGGUGUAGCGGUGAAAUGCGCAGAUAUCAGGAGGAACACCGGUGGCGAAGGCGGAUCUCUGGGCCGUAACUGACGCUGAGGAGCGAAAGCAUGGGGAGCGAACAGG